AUCCAGCUGAUGAGUCCGAAAUAGGACGAAACGCUUGUCCUAAAU
rnacentral:hammerhead_ribozyme from 1 species